rnacentral:lncRNA from 1 species
AAGCGUGCCAGGAUCUGUUCGACCCGCGAAGGAGAGCAGAAUCCCAAGCAUUGAAGAAUUUUCUAAGGCAUACAAAGGCUCAUCAAGUCUCAAAGCUGUUUAUGGCGAGACCAGAUGCCAAGCGUGCCAGGAACUGCUCGACCGCGCGAAGGCGAGCAGAAUCCCAAGCAUUGAAGAAUUUUCUAAGGCAUGCAAAGGCUCACCAAGUUUCAAAGCCUGUUUAUGGCGAGACCAGAAGCCAAGCGUGCCAGGACCUGCUCGACCGCGCGAAGGCGAGCAGAAUCCCAAGCAUUGAAGAAUUUUCUAAGGCAUGCAAAGGCUCACCAAGUUUCAAAGCCUGUUUAUGGCGAGACAAUAAGCCAAGCGUGCCAGGAUCUGCUCGACCGCGCGAAGGCGAGCAGAAUCCCAAGCAUUGAAGAAUUUUCUAAGGCAUGCAAAGGCUCACCAUGUUUCAAAGCCUGUUUAUGGCGAGACCAGAAGCCAAGCGUGCCAGGAUCUGCUCGACCGCGCGAAUGCGAGCAGAAUCCCAAUUAUUGAAGAAUUUUCUAAGGCAUACAAAGGCUCAUCAAGUCUCAAAGCCUGUUUAUGGCGAGACCAGAUGCCAAGCGUGCCAGGACCUGCUCGACCGCGUGAAGGCGAGCAGAAUCCCAAGCAUUGAACAAUUUUCUAAGGCAUGCAAAGGCUCACCAAGUUUCAAAGCCUGUUUAUGGCGAGACCAGAUGCCAAGCGUGCCAGAAUCUGCUCGACCGCGCGAAGGCGAGCAGAAUCCCAAGCAUUGAAGAAUUUUCUAAGGCAUGCAACGGCUCACUAAAUCUCAAAGCCUGUUUAUGGCGAGACCAGAAGCCAAGCGUGCCAGGAUCUGCUCGACCGCGCGAAGGCGAGCAGAAUCCCAAGCAUUGAAGAAUUUUCUAAGGGAAGCGAAGGCUCAUCAAGUCUCAAAGCCUGUUUAUGGCGAGACCAGAUGCCAAGCGUGCCAAAAUCUGCUCGACCGCGCGAAGGCGAGCAGAAUCCCAAGCAUUGAAGAAUUUUCUAAGGCAUGCAAAGGCUCACUAAGUCUCAACGCCUGUUUAUGGCGAGACCAGAAGCCAAGCGUGCCAUGAUCUGCUCGACCGUGCGAAGGCGAGCAUAAUCCCAAGCAUUGAAGAAUUUUCUAAGGCAUGUAAAUGCUCCCCAAGUCUCAAAGCCUGUUUAUGGGGAGAGCAGAAGCCAAGCGUGCUAGGAUCUGCUCGACCGCUCGAAGGCGAGCAGAAUCCCAAGCAUUGAAGAAUUUUCUAAGGCAUGCAAAAGCUCAUCAAN